AUCCAGCUGACGAAUCUCAAAUAGGACGAAACGCCUGCCUUGGAU
rnacentral:hammerhead_ribozyme from 1 species